rnacentral:lncRNA from 1 species
CAGCAUCGCCACUUGCGCUGGAACUGCUGCUCUUACUUGCUUUAGCUUCUCCUCCAGCAGUGGCAUCGACAUCUGCUUUGCCGUUACCCCCUACCUCACCACCACCAGAAGUAGUUGUGUCAUCUGCAUCAGUUUUGCCACCUUCAUAUCCUCCAGCACCGCUGAAGCUACUGCUCUUACUUGCUUUAGCUUCUCCUCCAGGUCCAGCACUAGCUUCAGCUGCAGCAAUGGCUUUAUCUUCAGCUUUAUCUAUAGCUUGAGCAUCAGCAACAGCUUCAACAACAGCUUUAGCUUCAGCUCUAGCCAGAGCUUGACUCUCAGUCUCAACACGAGCAUUGAUAUCAACACCGGCUGCUACACGGCCAGAUACUCCUAAAAUGUAAGCAAAAACAUUAUGUUACUUUUCAUAUGUUAAAAAAGAUAUAAACAUUCGCGGUGACGCAUUUGUAGCCAUGCAAGCGCCUGCUUAAUUGCACCUGUUUGCAUCCUUUAUUGUUUAUUAUUGUAGAUAUAGCUAGGAGUAGGUUAUAUAACUAGGGCACCUGAUAUAUAUAGUUUAGUUACCUUUCAAAAUUAACGUAUUUGCUAUUACUAGGAUGGAUUAUAUAUCUGAAUAAUUAACCUUGAGGUAACAAUUGAUAAAAGGUAGUAGUAAUUAAGCAUUACCAACUGCAUCCUCAGCCAGUGAUGACAUGCUGAUGGCUAUGUUUCCUGCAACUGUAGAAAGGUCGCGUGCCACACCCUUCACCAACUCAUACUUCUCAUUUUCUGGCAUUGCAGCAUCGAGGGAGAUAGCCUUGCAACGUUCUGCGGCCUUCUUAAGGAUCUCCUGUUGAAGCCUGAGUGCUGCCACGAUGUCCGCGGAAGCAACAGUAGGGUGUUGUUGGCCAACUAUGGU